GAUGAACGCUGGCGGCGUGCCUAAUACAUGCAAGUCGAGCGAACGGACGAGAAGCUUGCUUCUCUGCUGUUAGCGGCGGACGGGUGAGUAACACGUGGAUAACCUACCUAUAAGACUGGGAUAACUUCGGGGAACCGUAGCUAAUACCGGAUAAUAUUUUGAACCGCAUGGUUCAAAAGUGAAAGACGGUUUUGCUGUCACUAAUAGAUGGUUCCGCGCUGCAUUAGCUAGUUGGUAAGGUAACGGCCUACCAAGGCAACGAUGCAUAGCCGACCUGAGAGGGUGAUCGGCCACACUGGAACUGAGACACGGUCCAGACUCCUACGGGAGGCAGCAGUAGGGAAUAUUGCACAAUGGGCGAAAGCCUGACGCAGCCACGCCGCGUGAGUGAAGAAGGUCUUCGGAUCGUAAAGCUCUGUUAUUAGGGAAGAACAGAUGUAUAAGUAACUGUGGAUGUCUUGACGGUACCUAAUCAGUAAGCAACGGCUAACUACGUG
rnacentral:rRNA from 1 species